GACGAACGCUGGCGGCGUGCCUAAUACAUGCAAGUUGAGCGCUGAAGGUUGGUACUUGUACCAACUGGAUGAGCAGCGAACGGGUGAGUAACGCGUGGGUAAUCUGCCUUUGAGCCGGGGACAACAUUUGGAAACGAAUGCUAAUACCGCAUAAAAACUUUAAACACAAGUUUUAAGUUUGAAAGAUGCAAUUGCAUCACUCAAAGAUGAUCCCGCGUUGUAUUAGCUAGUUGGUGAGGUAAAGGCUCACCAAGGCGAUGAUACAUAACCGACCUGAGAGGGUGAACGGCCAAAUUGGGACUGAGACACGGCCCAAACUCCUACGGGGAGCAGCAGUAGGGAAUCUUCGGCAAUGGACGAAAGUCUGACCGAGCAACGCCGCGUGAGUGAAGAAGGGUUUCGGAUCGUAAAACUCUGUUGGUAGAGAAGAACGUUGGUGAGAGUGGAAAGCUCAUCAAGUGACGGUAACUACCCAGAAAGGGACGGCUAACUACGUG
rnacentral:rRNA from 1 species